GAAAGUAAGCAAGGGCAGACGGUGGAUGCCUUGGCUCUCGGAGGCGACGAAGGACGUGAUAAGCUGCGAAAAGCCCGGGGGAGGCGCAAAUAGCCGUUGAUCCCGGGAUAUCCGAAUGGGGCAACCCGGCAGGCUGAAGGCCUGCCAUCCCGUAAGGGAGGCGAACGUGGGGAACUGAAACAUCUAAGUACCCAUAGGAGGAGAAAAUAAACAAUGAUUCCGUAAGUAGUGGCGAGCGAACACGGAAGAGCCCAAACCCAUGUCGUCUAGGCGACACGGGGGUUGUAGGACCACGACGUGGCAAGAGGAUGGCAAGUGGAACGCCUUGGAAAGGGCGACCGUAGAGGGUGAUAGUCCCGUACACGACUGCCUGCCGAAGCCUAGUGGCAUCCUGAGUAGCGCGGGGCACGAGAAAUCUUGCGUGAAACUGCGGGGCCCAUCCCGUAAGGCUAAAUACUCCCGAGAGACCGAUAGCGAACCAGUACCGUGAGGGAAAGGUGAAAAGAACCCCGAGCAGGGGAGUGAAAUAGACCCUGAACCCGUCUGCCUACAAGCGGUCGGAGCGUUGUUAUGACGUGACGGCGUGCCUUUUGCAUAAUGAACCUACGAGUUACCUUCCCCGGCAAGGUUAAGUACCUAAGGUACGGAGCCGAAGCGAAAGCGAGUCUGAAGAGGGCGGCCAGUCGGGGGGGGUAGACGCGAAACCGAGUGAUCUACCCUUGGCCAGGUUGAAGGUUGGGUAACACCAACUGGAGGACCGGAUGGGUAAGCGUUGAAAAGCUUUCCAAUGAGCUGAGGGUAGGGGUGAAAGGCUAAUCAAACUCGGAGAUAGCUCGUACUCCCCGAAAUGCAUUUAGGUGCAGCCUCUUUAUAGUAUAUCGUGAGGUAGAGCGACUGAUUGGAUGCGAGGGCUUCACCGCCUAUCAAGUCCAGAUAAACUCCGAAUGCGCGAUAUAUAUUUAAAGGGAGUGAGGGCGCGGGUGCUAAGGUCCGUGUCCGAGAGGAGAAGAAUCCAGACCACCGGCUAAGGCCCCCAAAUGAUCGUUGAGUUGAACUAACGAGGUCGGAUCGCAGAGACAGCUAGGAUGUUGGCUUGGAAGCAGCCAUUCAUUUAAAGAGUGCGUAACAGCUCACUAGUCGAGCGAUCUGGCGUGGAUAAUAAUCGGGCAUAAACGAUCUGCCGAAGCCGUGGAUGUCGUAAGACAUGGUAGGGGAGCAUUCCAUGCCGCGUCGAAGAUGAGGGAUGACCCUUGUUGGAGCGCAUGGAAAAGCAAAUGUAGGUAUGAGUAACGAUAAGGGGGGCGAGAAACCCCCCCGCCGAAAGACCAAGGUUUCCUGAUCAACGCUAAUCGGAUCAGGGUGAGUCGGGACCUAAGGCAAAGCCGAACGGCGCCGCCGAUGGAAGAAUGGGUUAAUAUUCCCAUACUGCCUCAUGGAGUGACGUGGAGACGGAGAAGUGACAGUCCUGCCGGCUGACGGAAUAGCCGGUUGAAGGGUGUAGAUAUUGAUUCCCGUAGGCAAAUCCGCGGGGAGAGUCGAACCUGAGAGUAUACGGAGCGCUUGCGCGACGUAAUAUGGACGUAACCAUGCUCCCAAGAAAAUCCGCUAAACUUAUCCAUGCGGCACCCGUACCGUAAACGGACACACGUGGUCGGGUUGAGAAUACUGAGGCGCUCGAGUGACUCACGGUUAAGGAACUAGGCAAAUUGACCCUGUAACUUCGGGAUAAAGGGUCCUCGUCGUAAGGCGAGGCGCAGAGAAUAGGUCCAGGCAACUGUUUAACAAAAACACAUGGCUGUGCUAAAUGGAAACAUGACGUAUACAGCCUGACACCUGCCCGGUGCUGGAAGGUUAAGAGGAGAUGUCAUCGCGAGAGAAGCGUUGAAUUGAAGCCCCAGUAAACGGCGGCCGUAACUAUAACGGUCCUAAGGUAGCGAAAUUCCUUGUCGGGUAAGUUCC
rnacentral:rRNA from 1 species